GGGCGCAGCUGACGCAGCACGCCGCGUGCGUGAUGAAGGCCUUCGGGUUGUAAACCGCUUUUCUCCGGGACGAUUAUGACGGGACCCGGCGAAGAAACCCCGGCUAACUUCGUGCCCGCCCCCCCGGUAA
rnacentral:rRNA from 1 species